CAGACUGCUACGAACUUGGUAGAAUCGCUUAUCAUGAUGAUGACUUCUACCACACUGUACUGUGGAUGGACGAAGCGUUGCUGCGUUAUGAUAAGGAAACGGUUAAGACAAUCAAUAAAGAUGCCUUAUUGGACUAUUUGGCUUUUGCCACGUAUAAGCUGAAGAAUGCUUUGAGCUAGGACGCUAUGCCUAUACCCAACGUGACUUCUACCAUACUAUUAUGUGGAUGCAGGAAUCUCUGGAUCAGGAUGCAAGGGAAUUGAAUAAAACAGCCGAUCGAGCACUCAUUCUUGAUUAUUUAUCCUAUGCCAUGUCAAUGCAAGGAAAUGCACAGUUAGCUUUGGUCUUAACCAAUGAGCUUUUGGAAAUUG
rnacentral:lncRNA from 1 species